UACGGGAGGCAGCAGUGGGGAAUAUUGCACAAUGGGCGAAAGCCUGAUGCAGCUAUGCCGCGUGUAUGAAGAAGGCCUUAGGGUUGUAAAGUACUUUCAUCGGGGAGGAAAAACAAAACUAAUAAUUUUAUUUCUUGACGUUACCCGAAAAAGAAGCACCGGCUAACUCCGUGCCAGCAGCCGCGGUAAUACGGAGGGUGCUAGCGUUAAUCAGAAUUACUGGGCGUAAAGAGCACGUAGGUGGUUUUUUUAAGUCAGAUGUGAAAUCCCUGGGCUUAACCUGGAACUGCAUUUUGAAACUGAAAUACUAGAGUAUCGUAGAGGGAGGUAGAAUUCUAGGUGUAGCGGUGAAAUGCGUGGAUAUCUGGAGGAAUACCUGUGGCGAAAGCGGCCUCCUAAACGAAUACUGACACUGAGGUGCGAAAGCGUGGGGAGCAAACAGGGAUUAGAUACC
rnacentral:rRNA from 1 species